AGGUGUGGUGGUGCAUACCUGUAAUCCCAGCAACUCGGGAAGUUGAGGCAGGAGGAUUCCAAGUUUGAGACCAGCCUUAGCAACUUUGUGAAAUCCUGUUUCAA
rnacentral:sRNA from 1 species